UACUGAGAGUUCAAUGGCUGCUAAAUCAAUCAAUAAAUCACUCCUCCGUAAUGUUAAUUCGGAAGAUCAAUUGGUGCGAGCGCUGAAACGUCUGGACUGGGCGCCUUUCAGUUAACGUCCAUUCACCUGCACGUCAUGCAAAGAAAGAUAAUAAUAAACACAACCGUCCUUGACAGUAACAUUUCAGAGUAACUGCGUCUCACAUAUGUCGCCAUAGGCUCAUCUAUCGUGUCACCUUCUCAACUAAAUUUCUAACACUAUUACUACAGCUACCCAAAAGCUAAUAGCACCAGCUACCCAAAAGCUAAUAGCACCAAGUAUACAGCCCUUCCUCACAAAAAACAACAAAAACUAAUUUACAGUCACAACCAAAUAGUACUUCCGAGGAUUUAAGUGUGUACGCACAAGAGGGAAAACAAACUGCCAUUCACGCUGCCUGGCUACAGCUGUAUUUCCACUGUAAUAGAUUUAACGCUGGUGGAGCUUAGCCGGAAGUGUUUGUGCAUAAAUUUUGUUUGGGUUCUCUUUUUUUUUUUUUUUUGCUUGCAACAUGAACCUGCAUUUUGUUUGGAUUACACGAGCUCCAUGGAAAUUUGCGCAGACGACUCUAACUCAACCAAAAAGCGUGUAACAAUUAAUCCAGUUGUGCUAUUAUAAGGUUGCUCUCAAUGCUGCACCAUGGCGGUCUUCUUAGGUCGCCAUAUCAGUUUUCUUUACCUAUGUGGUGUGUAAUUAAUUAAUCAAGAGAGCGGAUGAAACGAUCUCUUAUUUUUGAUACGGUGUACAUUCUAUACACCCAAUUCUAUGCAUAUAUCAAUAAUCUUGACAUUGUCAUCCACUUAGAGUCAAGGUCCUACAGAGAUGAAGACAUGAUAGAGGGGUUUAGAGGAAGGCUCCCUUUUCCAGUUUAAUGGUUGCUUCAAGAAAAUAUCAUAUAUGGUAGCGCCUCCACAUAGGACAACUCAAUUCUAGAUCCACAUGUCGGAUGUAACCUCGCCAACUUAAAGAUAAUUUUCUAACUUAUCUUUUAGAAAAGUUAAGUGCUAACGUACUAAUGAAGAAACUAAGGAGAUAAGGAGGAUAAUCCAUUGGUGCAAGUGUUCACUCUUGACUUAUACUGGGGUGUGACACCAUAGUGGUGGCAUGCCAUGACAUCAUCCCCUUUUUACGUGUGCAGCUCCUCAAGCUUAUAUUUUGGAUAAUACAUAGUGAAGUCAUCCAAAUCUUUCCAUGUGGUUUUGGUUGGCGGCACAACUAAUCCAUUACGCUAGCACUUGCCGCACAUCACAAUAGGCGUGGCUGAUGGACCUUGGUGGUGGACCACACGACACAUCCUUCAUGUUAACAAUACCAACAUAGGACUCGUACUAGCAAGCAAGCUUGCAAGGGCAGAAUCGGUGAUGAAGGGACGGUAGAGGUUAUGAAGAUGAAGGCAUACCCAAUCUCCAGUUGGGACUCAAAAUAUUGUAGGGCAUCUUCUAUCUUCUAUUUAUAGUCACACCCGAGGAUUUAAGUGCAUACAGACAAGAGGUAAAUCAAACUCUGCCAUUCACCCCGCCUGGCUACAACUAUAUUUCAACUAGUAGUAGAUUUUGGUUAACACUGAUGGAGCUUAUUCAGAUGUGUUGGUUUAGUGAGUAAUUUUUUUUGCAACAUGAACCUGCAUUUUGUUUGGAUUAGAUGAGUUUAAUAGGAAUUUGCACAAACAACUAUAACUCAGCCAAAAUCAUACAACAAUGAAGUUGUUCUAUUAUAAGGCUGCUCCCGAUGCUCCACCCCUCGCGAUGUUUCUUAGGUCACUGCAUCAAAACAAGUUAUCUAUGUGGCGUGUAAUUAAUCAGGAGAGAGGAUGAAUUAGUCGCUUA